rnacentral:rRNA from 1 species
UCGGGAAUCUUGGGCAAUGGGCGAAAGCCUGACCCAGCAACGCCGCGUGAGGGAUGAAGGCCUUCGGGUCGUAAACCUCUGUCGGAAGGGAAGAACGGUAGCCGGGCAAAUAGGCCGGCAGCCUGACGGUACCUUCAAAGGAAGCACCGGCUAACUCCGUGCCAGCAGCCGCGGUAAUACGGAGGGUGCAAGCGUUGUUCGGAAUUACUGGGCGUAAAGCGCGUGUAGGCGGCUUGGCAAGUCGGCUGUGAAAUCCCGGGGCCCAACCCCGGAACUGCAGCCGAAACUGCUUCGCUAGAGUCCCGGAGAGGAAGGCAGAAUUCCCGGUGUAGGGGUGAAAUCCGUAGAUAUCGGGAGGAAUACCAGAGGCGAAGGCGGCCUUCUGGACGGGUACUGACGCUGAGACGCGAAAGCGUGGGGAGCAAACAGG